CCUGGAUCUCUUGGACUGAGGGCCAUCAGCUCAUUCAGCCAAAAACCAGGUUUUGUUCUGUGUGCUUGGAGAAAUUUGGCUGAGACACAUGCAGGUAAGCUCUGGUUCUUCGAGCAGCUUGGAGCAGAGUUGCUUCUCCUCCUUCCUUACCUCCCCACCUUGCAGGUAACGUCCCGGGAGCCCCCAACAGCCUCCCUUGCUCAUCCACCUCAGAGGGCUGUGAUCUCCACAGGCUUCCUCUCAGGGGACCCAGAACUACUCAGGAAAUUGUAGGUUGGGUCCUAUGCUCCUUCAUGGUCUGCCACAGCUGAGAUCCUGGAGUACAUCGUCCUAUCCGUCUCUGCCCAGAGGGAUCCUUCUUGUGUACACAGAGUGAGCUGGGUGGUGAGCACGAAUGACAUGGGGAUCUGCCUCAGAUACACACUCGUGACCUCAACCGAAAUGGUAAUGUAGACACACACAUGGUCCUGCAUAGUUUCCACUUGCCUCCAGCUGCAGAGUUGGUAAGCUGACUAUUUAAUCAUUAGUGUCAUGUUGUAUUGGUACAAUCGCUGUGCUAUCAGCAGCUGUAAUGCUCUAAGGACGUAAGUAGAGCAAGUUCAGCAAAGACAAUAUUUUUUAUUAGAUCAGCUGAUAUAGCUGAAAGAAAAGCAGACAAGAUUUUUAUUCCCCAUGGGAGACUCUUGGAUGUGAAAUAGAGGUCUUCUGUUUCCAGCAGGAUCGUCAAUGUGCUUCCUUAAGUUAGAGGUCCUAGAGGUGGGUGGGUAAGUGAAAAUAGCUAAAAA
rnacentral:lncRNA from 1 species